UGUCUCUUUUUGUUCUUGAGUGAGCA
rnacentral:piRNA from 1 species